rnacentral:rRNA from 1 species
GCACAACGCGAAGAACCUUACCCACCUUUGACAUGUACGGAAUCCUUUAGAGAUAGAGGAGUGCUCGAAAGAGAGCCGUAACACAGGUGCUGCAUGGCUGUCGUCAGCUCGUGUCGUGAGAUGUUGGGUUAAGUCCCGCAACGAGCGCAACCCUUGCCAUUAGUUGCUACAUUUAGUUGAGCACUCUAAUGGGACUGCCGGUGACAAACCGGAGGAAGGUGGGGAUGACGUCAAGUCCUCAUGGCCCUUAUAGGUGGGCUACACACGUCAUACAAUGGCUGGUACAAAGGGUUGCCAACCCGCGAGGGGGAGCUAAUCCCAUAAAGCCAGUCGUAGUCCGGAUCGCAGUCUGCAACUCGACUGCGUGAAGUCGGAAUCGCUAGUAAUCGUGGAUCAGAAUGUCACGGUGAAUACGUUCCCGGGUCUUGUACACACCG